CAUAACAACUUGUUAAGGUGAUUAUAUGUCAAUGUUGUGUCUACAACUUCUUCCACUGCCCCCAUGUGGCCAUAAACUAAAAUAAUGCUACUUUAAAAAGUAGAAGGUAAAAGCUUUAUUUUGAAAAUGUUUAUAGGCCUGUGCUGUAAAAGAAAGGGAGGCAAAUGUUAUGAGCGACAUAAACUUUCAAAUUUAUGCUCUCACACAGAUGAGGCUCCACGCAAACCACGGUGGUUUGAAUUUGGGAGUUGAGGCGGCGGCUCACGGCCCCGAGAGGAGUAAGCGUUCCCUCUGACAAUAAAAGAAGCCAGGUGUCUUUUCACCCCUGGCCGACACUAUAAACACAAGUCUCGCUGUAGUAAAUGUCAGGCAUAGUGUCAUUCUGCAGGAUGUGAGAUUCUUGACAAUUGUCCCUCUCAAGGCUCUGGAGAAGGCGUCUGGUAAAAUUUUUCACCUCACAUCAAUCUGGUUGAUUUGUUUUUGUCAACUUCACAUCCAUGGCAAAUCUUGAGAAAGCAGAGAGGGGGCCGUUUGACGCCAUCUUACUCCCAGGGGUCUGAAGGGUCUAAUUUGGUCAGACCAACAUUGUCCAACAUUGUGGUCAGAUCAAAGACUGUCUCUUGUGUAUGAUUAUGGUUUGACAUUUGAUGUCCAAAAAGCUCCCCACUUCCUUUUUCCCAUGUCAUGUCCCUUUCCCAUACCCUGAACCUAAGCUCCCCAGCCCCAAGCAGCGCUGAACCACACGGCUUCUGUGGUUUGACUCGCCACAAGCUUAAAAAUGAGGUUUGAUGAGACCAAGGUACAGUGAGUUUGUGUAGUUUGGUGUAAGCCGUCAGCCUGUAAUGCAGGGGAAAUGAAUGCUCUGCACUGAUCUCUGCCAGACAGCAUAAUGGUUGAUGAUACAUCCUUGCCCUCAGCUGAGAGGACAAUGAUGUCACACUUAAAAUGUGUAAAUAACUUCACCAACACUAGAGGGUGCUGUUGUGUAGGGAUUUAGAAAAGUGGAUGAGGAGGAGAUUUACAGUAACCUGGCCACUGGGACUACACUACACUGGAUUGUAUAAUUCAGCACCGUCAGUGUAGAUUAAAAUCUAGCUAAAUGUUAUAUCUAGCUGUGAUUUGGCUCCUCUAGAUCCUUGUGAAUAAACAAAUUAGAACAUUUUCAUCCUUAUCAAGAUGGUUUAUAAAUUGGGUGCAAUUUAUCACAAUUUCUAGAAUAAUCCAUGUAAAGAAACUAAGACAUCUAAAAAAAAAUGUUGCUGCUGUAUUCUGAUCUUUCUCCUUUUGUUGGCAGCAGAACAGUGCUGCUGCUUCUUCUGGUUUUUGUUGUUUAGACAGCUCUUCCUUCUCUGAACAUGCAAUUUAUCUUUCCAGUAUGUAGUAUGAAGAGAGAAUCCAUUCACUAGUUCCAAAUGUUUCAGAUUUUAACCACGUUUUUUUUUCUUAUACACAGUUUAGGUGGUAGAUAGCGUUAGAGUAUGAAAUAAUGUCUUUUAAAUGCCAUGUUUUUAUUGUAGGCUUUGUGUAAUGAGGUUUGAUGAAUUGUUUUGACGUCUGUUGACUCUAUUGCUGUCAUAAUAAAAGGGGCUUCUGUGCAACGUCACAACUCAAAGACCAAAACAACUAUGAUGUGCAGAAAAAUUAUUUAUGAAUAUAUUUGCAUCUUAUUCAAAUAUUUUAAUGUGACAAUUAGGCAUGGGCUGGUAUAAGAUUCUGACGGUAUGAUAACCUUCAGGAAAAAUAUCACGGUAUUGCAAUUAUAGCUUUAAAAUGUUUUUUUUUUUGUUUUUUUAAAUGUCUGUGU